rnacentral:rRNA from 1 species
GGUACAUGAGAGCUUGCUCUUGAUGACGAGUGGCGCACGGGUGUGUAACGCGUAUGCAACCUACCUUUAACUGAGGGAUAGCCCAUGGAAACUUGGAUUAAUACUUCAUAAAAUUAUUUGUCCUCCUGGUCAGAUAAUUAAAGCUUCGGCGGUUAUAGAUGGGCAUGCGUCCUAUUAGUUAGUUGGUGAGGUAACGGCUCACCAAGACAGCGAUAGGUAGGGGGCCUGAGAGGGUGAUCCCCCACACUGGUACUGAGACACGGACCAGACUCCUACGGGAGGCAGCAGUGAGGAAUAUUGGUCAAUGGACGAAAGUCUGAACCAGCCAUGCCGCGUGCAGGAAGACGGCCCUACGGGUUGUAAACUGCUUUUAUAUAGGAAGAAACCCCUCUACGUGUAGAGGGUUGACGGUACUAUAUGAAUAAGCACCGGCUAACUCCGUGCCAGCAGCCGCGGUAAUACGGAGGGUGCAAGCGUUAUCCGGAUUUAUUGGGUUUAAAGGGUCCGUACGCGGAUCUUUAAGUCAGUGGUGAAAGCCUACAGCUUAACUGUAGAAUUGCCAUUGAUACUGAAGAUCUUGAGUAUAUUUGAAGUGGGCGGAAUA